rnacentral:rRNA from 1 species
AGUGAACGCUGGCGGUAGGCCUAACACAUGCAAGUCGAACGGCAGCACAGUAAGAGCUUGCUCUUACGGGUGGCGAGUGGCGGACGGGUGAGGAAUACAUCGGAAUCUACUUUUUCGUGGGGGAUAACGUAGGGAAACUUACGCUAAUACAGCAUAUGACCUACGGGUGAAAGCAAGGGUUCUUCGGACCUUGCGCGUUUGAAUGAGACGAUGUCGGAUUAGCUAGUUGGCGGGGUAAGGGCCCACCAAGGCGACGAUCCGUAGCUGGUCUGAGAGGAUGAUCAGCCACACUGGAACUGAGACACGGUCCAGACUCCUACGGGAGGCAGCAGUGGGGAAUAUUGGACAAUGGGCGCAAGCCUGAUCCAGCCAUACCGCGUGAGUGAAGAAGGCCUUCGGGUUGUAAAGCCCUUUUGUUGGGAAAGAAAAGCAGCAGAUUAAUACCCCGCUGUUCUGACGGUACCCAAAGAAUAAGCACCGGCUAACUUCGUG